CCUACGGGAGGCAGCAGUGAGGAAUAUUGGUCAAUGGGCGGGAGCCUGAACCAGCCAAGUCGCGUGAGGGAAGACGGUCCUAUGGAUUGUAAACCUCUUUAGGCGGGGAGCAAUGCCGGGCACGCGUGCCCGGAGGGAGAGUACCCGCAGAAUAAGCAUCGGCUAACUCCGUGCCAGCAGCCGCGGUAAUACGGAGGAUGCGAGCGUUAUCCGGAUUUUUUGGGUUUAAAGGGUGCGUAGGCGGAUUUUUAAGUCAGCGGUAAAAUGUCCGGGCUCAACCCGGGCCGGCCGUUGAAACUGGGGAUCUUGAGUGGGCGAGAAGUAUGCGGAAUGCGUGGUGUAGCGGUGAAAUGCAUAGAUAUCACGCAGAACUCCGAGUGCGAAGGCAGCAUACCGGCGCCCGACUGACGCUGAGGCACGAAAGCGUGGGGAUCGAACAGGAUUAGAUACCCUUGUAGUC
rnacentral:rRNA from 1 species